AACGAGGCCGACCUGCGGCUGAGUUACCUGCGGAAGGAUCAUUACAAGUGACCCCGGUUUACCACCGGGAUGUUCAUAACCCUUUGUUGUCCGACUCUGUUGCCUCCGGGGCGACCCUGCCUUCGGGCGGGGGCUCCGGGUGGACACUUCAAACUCUUGCGUAACUUUGCAGUCUGAGUAAACUUAAUUAAUAAAUUAAAACUUUCAACAACGGAUCU
rnacentral:misc_RNA from 1 species